rnacentral:rRNA from 1 species
UUGUGGCCAGUUGAUGCUCAAAGAGUCCUGGUGAUUCCUCUACCGAUGCACAAUAUGACGGAUUUCAUUGCUUGGACGUACACUAAAAAUGGUUUAUUCACUAUACGAUCAGCUUAUUUAGAAGAAUGGUGUAAACAACAUGGGACGAAGUCGGAAUAUAUAAAUGGCAUGGGUAGAAGCAAGGCUAACCCUAUUAGGGGCAAGAUAUGGAAGUUAGCUUGUCCGGCAAAGGUUAAAAAAAUCAUCUGGCGUACACUUCAGGGGACUCUGCCAUGUCGUGUGACGUUGGCGAAUAGACACAUAAAAACUUCGCCCAUUUGCCCAGCAUGUCCGAAUGGGGCAGAGGAUACUAAACACGUGUUGUUUCUAUGCCAAAAGGCAAAAGAAGUGUGGGAAAAUUUGGCAUGA